CCUACGGGGGGCAGCAGUGAGGAAUAUUGGUCAAUGGACGAGCGUCUGAACCAGCCAAGUAGCGUGAAGGAUGACUGCCCUAUGGGUUGUAAACUUCUUUUAUAUGGGAAUAAAAUGUUCCACGUGUGGGUUUUUGUAUGUACCAUAUGAAUAAGGAUCGGCUAACUCCGUGCCAGCAGCCGCGGUAAUACGGAGGAUACGAGCGUUAUCCGGAUUUAUUGGGUUUAAAGGGUGCGUAGGUGGAUUGUUAAGUCAGUUGUGAAAGUUUGCGGCUCAACCGUAAAAUUGCAGUUGAAACUGGCAGUCUUGAGUACAGUAGAGGUGGGCGGAAUUCGUGGUGUAGCGGUGAAAUGCUUAGAUAUCACGAAGAACUCCGAUUGCGAAGGCAGCUUACUGGACUGCAACUGACACUGAGGCUCGAAAGUGUGGGUAUCAAACAGGAUUAGAUACCCUGGUAGUC
rnacentral:rRNA from 1 species